AAAGAGAAUUUCUCAGAAGACAGUCAUACCAUGCAUCACCCAUAUUGGUCAUUCAGCAGAAUCAGCCAACGAAAAGCAACAAGCACCUGGAGCAGUGUACACCUGUAAUCCCAGCACUUGGGAGGCUGAGGCAGGAGGAUCACCUCAAGUUUGAGGCCAGCCUGGGCUAUAUAGUGAGACCCUGUCCAAAAAAAGAAGAAAAGGAAGAAGAAGGAGGAGAAGGAUGAAGAAGGGGGGGAGCAAUAAGCAUCUCUUUGCCCUCUCGGAAGUCCCAAGA
rnacentral:lncRNA from 1 species